rnacentral:rRNA from 1 species
UACGGAAGGCAGCAGUGGGGAAUAUUGCACAAUGGGCGCAAGCCUGAUGCAGCCAUGCCGCGUGUAUGAAAAAGGCCUUCGGGUUGUAAAGUACUUUCAGUCGUGAGGAAGGUGUUAAGGUUAAUAACCUUAGCAAUUGACGUUAGCGACAGAAGAAGCACCGGCUAACUCCGUGCCAGCAGCCGCGGUAAUACGGAGGGUGCGAGCGUUAAUCGGAAUUACUGGGCGUAAAGGGCACGCAGGCGGUUAAUUAAGUUGGAUGUGAAAUCCCCGGGCUUAACCUGGGAAUGGCAUUCAAGACUGGUUAGCUAGAGUCUUGUAGAGGGGGUAGAAUUCCAUGUGUAGCGGUGAAAUGCGUAGAGAUGUGGAGGAAUACCGGUGGCGAAGGCGGCCCCUGGGACAAAGGCUGACGCUCAUGUGCGAAAGCGUGGGGA